rnacentral:rRNA from 1 species
AGAGUUUGAUCCUGGCUCAGGAUGAACGCUAGCGGCAGGCCUAACACAUGCAAGUCGAGGGGCAGCAUUUCUAGCUUGCUAGAAGAUGGCGACCGGCGCACGGGUGCGUAACGCGUAUACAAUCUACCUAUUACUGAGGUAUAGCCCGAAGAAAUUUGGAUUAAGCCCUCAUAGUAUUAUAGAAUCGCAUGAUUUUAUAAUUAAAGGUUACGGUAAUAGAUGAGUAUGCGUCCUAUUAGCUAGAUGGUGAGGUAAAGGCUCACCAUGGCUACGAUAGGUAGGGGUCCUGAGAGGGAGAUCCCCCACACUGGUACUGAGACACGGACCAGACUCCUACGGGAGGCAGCAGUGAGGAAUAUUGGACAAUGGGCGCAAGCCUGAUCCAGCCAUGCCGCGUGUAGGAAGACGGCCCUAUGGGUUGUAAACUACUUUUGUACGGGAAGAAAUCUUUUUACGUGUAAAAAGUUGACGGUACCGUAAGAAUAAGCACCGGCUAACUCCGUGCCAGCAGCCGCGGUAAUACGGAGGGUGCAAGCGUUAAUCGGAAUUACUGGGCGUAAAGCGCGCGUAGGUGGUUUGUUAAGUUGGAUGUGAAAGCCCUGGGCUCAACCUAGGAACUGCAUCCAAAACUAACUCACUAGAGUACGAUAGAGGGAGGUAGAAUUCAUAGUGUAGCGGUGGAAUGCGUAGAUAUUAUGAAGAAUACCAGUGGCGAAGGCGGCCUCCUGGAUCUGUACUGACACUGAGGUGCGAAAGCGUGGGUAGCGAACAGGAUUAGAUACCCUGGUAGUCCACGCCGUAAACGAUGGAUACUAGCUGUUCGGAUUUAUCUGAGUGGCUAAGCGAAAGUGAUAAGUAUCCCACCUGGGGAGUACGUUCGCAAGAAUGAAACUCAAAGGAAUUGACGGGGGCCCGCACAAGCGGUGGAGCAUGUGGUUUAA